AGCGCGCGCAGGCGGUUUUUUAAGUCUGAUGUGAAAGCCCACGGCUCAACCGUGGAGGGUCAUUGGAAACUGGGGAACUUGAGUGCAGAAGAGAAAAGCGGAAUUCCACGUGUAGCGGUGAAAUGCGUAGAGAUGUGGAGGAACACCAGUGGCGAAGGCGGCUUUUUGGUCUGUAACUGACGCUGAGGCGCGAAAGCGUGGGGAGCAAACAGGAUUAGAUACCCUGGUAGUCCACGCCGUAAACGAUGAGUGCUAAGUGUUAGAGGGUUUCCGCCCUUUAGUGCUGCAGCUAACGCAUUAAGCACUCCGCCUGGGGAGUACGGUCGCAAGACUGAAACUCAAAGGAAUUGACGGGGGCCCGCACACGCGGUGGAGCAUGUGGUUU
rnacentral:rRNA from 2 species